ACUCCCCAGGUUUUCCCCUCUUGUGAGUGGAACUUGUGACCACUGGUUCCUUCCUCCCGGAAAGUGGCACAAGGGGCCCGUUCCUGCAUGCCUCCAGCCCCGGAAUGGGGUUUGGAGCAAAGAUGUGCCCGGGGAGAGAGGAGACAGUGCUGGCUGUGGAGCUUUGGGCACACGUGUACAACAUAGGAGCACCCAGCAGCCCCUGCUGGUCAUUCCUUUAGAAUAGGACCGACACCGGGAGUUCCCCCCCCCCCCGCCCCCUCCCCCCACUCCAGUGCUCCCAGUUCAGCUGUUGGUCAUUUGCAUCAAGGGCCUGAAGUCUCACAGGCCCUAGCAAAGCAAAUGUCUGUCUUUUAACUCGAUUUUUGGCUUCAAAGGCUUGAGUCUGCCUGGAGACAGAAGUUGCGCUUAGACUAGCAAUCACUAAGCCUUCUCCAGAGGAUCAAGUUUGGUGAAUAGGAGUGUAGGACUGGGUGGGAAACUAAAGCUGAUGUAUCUGGAGACAUUUCAGUCUGCUUGUCUAAUGUCUGGGGACAGGGUCAGCCCUACCACAUUCACCAGCCUCCUCCUUUAAUCUUGCCACAGCUCUGCAGUAUCUACACAGAGAUUUUGGUCUCGCUACUAUUUUUUCCCAUUUUCCAUUUUUUUUUUUUACCAUCUAAAAACACCACAAGUUUCCCUCUUCUGUUUCUUCAAAUUGAAGUGCACCAGACAUAUGGGGAAUUGCACAAAACCCAAUACUAUGACAGAUCAACAAAUAUGACACAAUGAACAGACCCAGAUGGCUACCAGUCAGAUCAUGAGUUAGAUCAUUCUCAGCAUCUGAGAAGUCCUUCUAUCUAAAUCCUGGUCACUACUUCACAAUGCUUCUGCCUAUUACUAUAGAGUAGUUAGGCCUGCCUGCCUUUGAACAGAACCAUCCAGUAAUUAUUUUGUAUCUGACUUCUCUCAGUACUAUGCUUGUAAGACUAAUUGGCAAUGUGAUAGCGGUAGUUGAUUGAUUUUUAAUUGCUGUAUAGUAGACCAUUGGAGUGGCUAUACUACAAUGUAUCCUGUGGACAGGCAUUUGGGUUCUCUGUAAUUAUAGCAAUUGUAGUUAUUGUUAUAACAUUUUCAUUCAUGUCCUUUGGUGCACUUGGGUUCACACUUCUACUGGAAAUAUCUGUACAAACAAAAUUAGUGGGUCAUUGACUCCACAGGCAUGUGUUUAGCUUUAGUAAAUCUACUAAACUAUUUUCCAGUGUGUAUUAAUCUAUAAUCCUGCCAGCAAUGCCUGGAGUUCUAUGUGUUCUUUAUCCUUAUCAACACUUGGUGUUGUCAAUCUAAAAAGAUUAAAAAGUUUAGCCAUCCUGGUGGGUGUAUUAAUAGUGAUUUUUUAUUGGGGUUUAAGUUUAUAUUCCCUUUGUAAACAAUGAAGUUGGCCACCAUUUUAUGUAUUUAUUUGCCAUUUGGAUACUUGCUCAAGCAUUGAGUCUGUUUUAUUUUAGGCUUUUUUCCUCUGCAGUACACGGUUUUGAACUUGGGACCUCAUGUUUGCUAGGCAGGCAGUUUAUCACUGGAGCCAUGCCUCCAGUCUUUAAGUUUUGUAUCUUUUGUCUAGUAGUGGUUCUUCAGAUACUUCAAAUAUGGUUCUUGGUUAGUUGUUGAAAUUGCAGAAUAUUUUAUGAAUAUAUAAGUGCAGCUAUGCCUUUCCAGAUAUAUUCAGUAAUUUCAGAAUUGCAGCUCCAAAACACCUACACCAUCCUGGCUAGAGAGUCCCAGCUUGGGAAUUUGUUCAACAUGGAGUCUGCUGCAGUGGCCACUGGAAUAAGACUUGUCAUCUCUACAUUUUGAUUGCUACCAUAUCUCUGGCUCCUGACACAUAGUUGGUGCUCAAUAAACAUGUUAAAUGCAGGAUGGAUGAGGUAGAGUCAUCUAGGUAGUGUGCCCUUUGUUGUGCUGAUACCUAGAGUCAAACAUCAAGAAGGGGGGAGGGGGGCACAAUUCCUUUCACCUCAGCCAGCUGUGACUUUGGGAAGAGGAAGACACUCCAGCUCUUCUUUAUUGAAAGAGCAGAAAUAGCUACAGUCUGAAAUGAGAUGUAGAGAGUAGAGGUCACAGAUGAAAAGACAGAAACUAGCAGCAGGUAGCAAGCCAGCCAGAUACUCCAAAAGGAGCCACUUGGUCGGGGGUGUCAAGAUGAGAUGAGGGUCUCUGAGCAUAGUUGUGAUGGACCAUCACAUGACAACAAACUCUCAAAGAUCAUCAUAGGUCAUGUCGGUCUUCCUUCUACCUCAUGACAUUUUUCCCCCUCAAAGUUUACUAGCUAAGAAACCUUUAAA